UCGUAUUUAAGGAUAAUUCACUGUUUAUGAGGAGUAGUUGUAUGGCCAAGACAUAGAUCAAAAUGAGGCGUUUUGAUACAGACGAUGAAGCGUACAUUGUUUUGAAUUAUUUUUGUCAAAGGUUUUUUUUAUAGAUGGUUCGUUCAAAUUGAUGUUUAUGGACGAGUCUCAGAGGGAUUUGGAUACUGAAUUGAUAUAUGAUGUUUAUAUAUAUGGUUUAUUUUUUUGGUUAUCCAAUACGAAAUUUGUUUGAAAAGGUCAGUUUGUAGAAAAAGAUGUUUACACUUGGUAAGGACAGGAGAGAAGAGUUGAAGGUUGAGACUUAUUUGGGGACAAGAGGGCCGACAAAAAUGUAAAAGCUGAGAGGUAUGACUUUAGACUUUAGUUCACACGAUUCGUAAGGUGCAAACAGCAAACGAGAAAUGAAGGAAUUCAUUGUUAAUUUUUUUUUCUUUUUCUUUUUUAUUCCUUUAAAUAAAAAUAUAUACUAUUAAAACAACAAUUUUUAUUGAUAUUCCAUGGACUUGCUUUAUAUAUUACAAGUGUACUACUCUUAUAUUUAUGGUAAUAUUACCAUUUAAUCAUUUAUUGAAAGCCAUUAAAGUUAUUUUAGUCAAGUUAAUAUUUUGUAAAGUGGUUACUCCAGUUAAUAUCUAAUCUCGAAUCCUCUCUCUUUCAACCCAACCUUUAUGCACUAGAUUUUGUACUCGCGCAUAGCGCGAAUCUGUAUUAAUAAUUUACUUUAUAUUUUAUAGUAAUUAUAAGUUUUUAAAUAGAAAUUUAUAUCAAUAUUUGUUUGUGAAAAUGUAUUUACAAUGUGAUUUUCUGUUUUG
rnacentral:lncRNA from 1 species